rnacentral:lncRNA from 1 species
GUGAGUGGAACUGAACUGAACUGUGUUUUUACAUAAAUGCAAAGUUUUGAGCAUGACUCAUGCAUCAUAAUUGCCAUGUUAUAUUAGGGUGUAUUGCAUUAGUGAUCACGAAGGUGACGCAUUGCAUUAUUUAUUGUCGAUGGGGAUGGACAACAUGGAGACCCUUUAGCCCUCUGAUUAUUAUUUCCAUCUAGUAGAAGUCCUGCGGAGCUCCUUGAGAGCCGGGCACAAUGUUCAUUGUAUGUAAUAGAAGUCCUGAGGAGCUCCUUUGAGGGCCGGGCACAGAGCAGAGGGAUUUUUGGGUCAGUCCAUCCAUGAUGUGCUUUACUUGUGCUAUGACGCAUUUCAUGAUAGCAUGUUUUAUUAAAUGUUUUAUUGUUC